GGACAACCUUAAACUUCCACCACAAGAGGAAUAUAAAGAGGUCCCUCCUGCACCAAGAAAGAUCUGCAGAUCUUUUUCAGUGUUCUUGGAGGUGUGGGGUGUGAGAACUUGAUCAGUUUGUGUCAGCCACCUUGUUCUCUAAAGGGAAAGCCCCUCAAACCAUUUUGUAUUCUGUAUUACACUUCAGAAAGUGUGGAAGCAAAGGUCAUCUAAUCUUUAAAAGAGAUGGGACAACAAAGAAAUUCUAGCCUUUGGAGACAUCUAGACCAGCACUAUAUGGUACAAAGAUAAUUCGAGCCAUAAAUAGAAGCUACGUAUGUAAUUUUAA
rnacentral:lncRNA from 10 species